GAUGAACGCUGGCGGCGUGCCUAAUACAUGCGAGUCGAGCGAACAGGCGAGGAGCUUGCUCCUCUGACGUUAGCGGCGGACGGGUGAGUAACACGUGGAUAACCUACCUAUAAGACUGGGAUAACUUCGGGAAACCGGAGCUAAUACCGGAUAAUAUAUUGAACCGCAUGGUUCAAUAGUGAAAGACGGUUUUGCUGUCACUUAUAGAUGGAUCCGCGCCGCAUUAGCUAGUUGGUAAGGUAACGGCUUACCAAGGCAACGAUGCGUAGCCGACCUGAGAGGGUGAUCGGCCACACUGGGACUGAGACACGGUCCAGACUCCUACGGGAGGCAGCAGUAGGGAAUCUUCCGCAAUGGGCGGAAGCCUGACGGAGCAACGCCGCGUGAGUGAUGAGGGUCUUCGGAUCGUAAAACUCUGUUAUUAGGGAAGAACAAAUGUGUAAGUAACUAUGCACGUCUUGACGGUACCUAAUCAGAAAGCCACGGCUAACUACGUG
rnacentral:rRNA from 1 species